AUUGAACGCUGGCGGCAGGCUUAACACAUGCAAGUCGAGCGGAGAGAGGUAGCUUGCUACUGAUCUUAGCGGCGGACGGGUGAGUAAUGCUUAGGAAUCUGCCCAUUAGUGGGGGACAACAUUUCGAAAGGAAUGCUAAUACCGCAUACGUCCUACGGGAGAAAGCAGGGGAUCUUCGGAUCUGGCGCUAAUAGAUGAGCCUAAGUCGGAUUAGCUAGUUGGUGGGGUAAGGGCCUACCAAGGAGACGAUCUGUAGCGGGUCUGAGAGGAUGAUCCGCCACACUGGGACUGAGACACGGCCCAGACUCCUACGGGAGGCAGCAGUGGGGAAUAUUGGACAAUGGGCGCAAGCCUGAUCCAGCCAUGCCGCGUGUGUGAAGAAGGCCUUAUGGUUGUAAAGCACUUUAAGCGAGGAGGAGGCUACUUUAAAUAAUACCUAGAGAUAGUGGACGUUACUCGCAGAAUAAGCACCGGCUAACUCUGUGCCAGCAGCCGCAGUAAUAC
rnacentral:rRNA from 1 species